UUUCCGUAGGUGAACCUGCGGACGGAUCAUUACUGAAGUGAGUCUUCAUCAUUGAAGCUUCUUCCCAUUGUGCUGGCUUUGACCGUAUGUAAUGUUGGGGAUUGAACAUGGUUGAAAUUUUUUUUAGCCGUCCCCAACAAUUUAUCUUAUCCUUUAUUAAAUUGAACUGAACUCAUUUUGAGAUUACAUAAAAAAUAAUCUUUUAAUACAACUUUCAACAACGGAUCUCUUGGUUCUC
rnacentral:misc_RNA from 1 species